rnacentral:misc_RNA from 1 species
AGCAGCCGCGGUAAUUCCAGCUCCAAUAGCGUAUAUUAAAGUUGUUGCAGUUAAAAAGCUCGUAGUUGAAUUUCGGGAUCAAUAUGUUGGUCGUGCCUCGGUACGUACUAGCAUAUUGGUUUCUCCUUUCUGAAGAACCAUGAUGUCAUUUAUUUGGUGUCGUGGGGAAUCAGGACUGUUACUUUGAAAAAAUUAGAGUGUUUAAAGCAGGCUCACGCUUGAAUACAUUAGCAUGGAAUAAUGAAAUAGGACGUUUGAUUCUAUUUUGUUGGUUUCUAGGAUCGACGUAAUGAUUAAUAGGGAUAGUUGGGGGCAUUAGUAUUCAAUUGUCAGAGGUGAAAUUCUUGGAUUUAUUGAAGACUAACUAUUGCGAAAGCAUUUGCCAAGGAUGUUUUCAUUAAUCAAGAACGAAAGUUAGGGGAUCGAAGACGAUCAGAUACCGUCGUAGUCUUAACCAUAAACUAUGCCGACUAGGGAUCGGAUGAUGUUAAUUUUUUAAUGACUUUCAUC